AAAGUACUCCCUCCAUUCCAAAAUUCUUGUAUUAGAUUUGUCUAGAUACGGAUGUAUCAAGUCACAUUUUAGUAUUAGAUACAUCCGUAUCUAGACAAAUCUAAGACAAGAAAUUUGGGACAGAGGGAGUAGUUG
rnacentral:pre_miRNA from 1 species